rnacentral:rRNA from 1 species
GUAGGGAAUCUUCGGCAAUGGACGAAAGUCUGACCGAGCAACGCCGCGUGAGUGAAGAAGGUUUUCGGAUUGUAAAACUCUGUUGGUAGAGAAGAACGUUGGUGAGAGUGGAAAGCUCAUCAAGUGACGGUAACUACCCAGAAAGGGACGGCUAACUACGUGCCAG